rnacentral:rRNA from 1 species
AACGAACGCUGGCGGCAGGCCUAACACAUGCAAGUCGAGCGCGCCCUUCGGGGUGAGCGGCGGACGGGUGAGUAACGCGUGGGAACGUGCCCUUUUCUACGGAAUAGCCUCGGGAAACUGAGAGUAAUACCGUAUACGCCCUUUGGGGGAAAGAUUUAUCGGAAAAGGAUCGGCCCGCGUUGGAUUAGGUAGUUGGUGGGGUAAUGGCCUACCAAGCCGACGAUCCAUAGCUGGUUUGAGAGGAUGAUCAGCCACACUGGGACUGAGACACGGCCCAGACUCCUACGGGAGGCAGCAGUGGGGAAUCUUAGGCAAUGGGGGCAACCCUGAUCUAGCCAUGCCGCGUGAGUGAUGAAGGCCUUAGGGUUGUAAAGCUCUUUCAGCUGGGAAGAUAAUGACGGUACCAGCAGAAGAAGCCCCGGCUAACUCCGUG